rnacentral:rRNA from 1 species
AACGAACGCUGGCGGCAGGCUUAACACAUGCAAGUCGAACGCCCCGCCAGGGGAGUGGCAGACGGGUGAGUAACGCGUGGGAACAUACCCUUUUCUACGGAAUAGCUCUGGGAAACUGGAAUUAAUACCGUAUACGCCCUACGGGGGAAAGAUUUAUCGGGGAAGGAUUGGCCCGCGUUGGAUUAGCUAGUUGGUGGGGUAAAGGCCUACCAAGGCGACGAUCCAUAGCUGGUCUGAGAGGAUGAUCAGCCACAUUGGGACUGAGACACGGCCCAAACUCCUACGGGAGGCAGCAGUGGGGAAUAUUGGACAAUGGGCGCAAGCCUGAUCCAGCCAUGCCGCGUGAGUGAUGAAGGCGUUAGGGUUGUAAAGCUCUUUCACCGAUGAAGAUAAUGACGGUAGUCGGAGAAGAAGCCCCGGCUAACUUCGUG